rnacentral:rRNA from 1 species
GAUGAACGCUGGCUACAGGCUUAACACAUGCAAGUCGUGGGGAAACGGCAUUAUGUGCUUGCACAUUCUGGACGUCGACCGGCGCACGGGUGAGUAUCGCGUAUCCAACCUGCACCUUACUUGGGGAUACCCCGUUGAAAGACGGCCUAAUACCCGAUGUGUUUCAUUGACGGCAUCCGAUAUGAAACAAAGGUUUUUCCGGUAAGGGAUGGGGAUGCGUCUGAUUAGCUUGUUGGCGGGGCAACGGCCCACCAAGGCGACGAUCAGUAGGGGUUCUGAGAGGAAGGUCCCCCACAUUGGAACUGAGACACGGUCCAAACUCCUACGGGAGGCAGCAGUGAGGAAUAUUGGUCAAUGGACGCAAGUCUGAACCAGCCAAGUAGCGUGCAGGAUGACGGCCCUAUGGGUUGUAAACUGCUUUUAUGUGGGAAUAAAGUGGCGCACGUGUGCGCCAUUGCAUGUACCUCAUGAAUAAGGACCGGCUAAUUCCGUGCCAGCAGCCGCGGUAAUACGGAAGGUCCGGGCGUUAUCCGGAUUUAUUGGGUUUAAAGGGAGUGUAGGCGGUCUGUUAAGCGUGUUGUGAAAUUUAGGUGCUCAACAUUUAACUUGCAGCGCGAACUGUCAGACUUGAGUACACGCAGCGCAGGCGGAAUUCAUGGUGUAGCGGUGAAAUGCUUAGAUAUCAUGAGGAACUCCGAUCGCGAAGGCAGCCUGCGGGAGUGUUACUGACGCUUAAGCUCGAAGGUGCGGGUAUCGAACAGG